UACGUAGGGGGCAAGCGUUGUCCGGAAUUAUUGGGCGUAAAGAGCGUGUAGGCGGUCCGGUAAGUCGGCUGUGAAAGUCCAGGGCUCAACCCUGGGAUGCCGGUCGAUACUGCCGGACUAGAGUUCGGAAGAGGCGAGUGGAAUUCCCGGUGUAGCGGUGAAAUGCGCAGAUAUCGGGAGGAACACCUAUGGCGAAGGCAGCUCGCUGGGACGUUACUGACGCUGAGACGCGAAAGCGUGGGGAGCAAACGGG
rnacentral:rRNA from 1 species